rnacentral:pre_miRNA from 1 species
GUAGGAAUCAGCCGGGGAUCUUGUUAAAAUGCAGAUUCUGAUUCUGUAGGUCUGGUGAGGGUCUCGGAUUCUGCAUUUCUAACUAGCUCCCAGUUGGUUGAGUG